rnacentral:lncRNA from 14 species
CACUGAGUCCUCAGGCACGUGAACCCCAGCACCAGUGUUAAUCCCCUUCCUAUGUUGCUGACCCCAUCCUCUGCAGAGCUGCACAUCCCGGUGACGUGCUGAAACUGCCGUGGCCUUUCACUGCUGCAGGACCCUGGGUUCCAAGCCAGCCCUAAAGGGAGAUGAGUCGUGGUUUCCAGAGCCGGGAGCAGCAGUGCCUGGUGUAUGCACAUGGAGCUCGGGAAGCAGCUGCCUCCCUCAGCAGGAGGCAAGGGCUGCCUGCCUGGAACAGACACUGACUUACAGGACCUCUCUUACUUUUGUCGAGGUGACCUCUCAUGUCUCCAGAGCUGUGGGGAAGAGUUCUUCAAUGUGGUUGUUACCUUCAAGGACAGAAAUCUCAGAGUAGCACUUGGCAGCCCUGGCCCCAGGACACCUUCAGCUCCGAACCUGCCUGAAGCCGAGGGGUAAGCCACAGGGACCCGUGGGUGCGGGAGGGACACAGAGCAAGG